AUACGGAGGGUGCAAGCGUUACUCGGAAUCACUGGGCGUAAAGCGCGCGCAGGCGGCUUUUUAAGUUGGAUGUGAAAGCCUACGGCUCAACCGUAGAACUGCAUCCAAAACUAUUUAGCUAGAGUGUGGGAGAGGAAGAUGGAAUUAGUUGUGUAGGGGUAAAAUCCGUAGAGAUAACUAGGAAUACCAAAAGCGAAGGCAAUCUUCUGGAACACUACUGACGCUGAGGCGCGAAAGCGUGGGGAGCAAACGGGAUUAGAAACCCCAGUAGUCC
rnacentral:rRNA from 1 species